GACGUAGGGCGCGAGCGUUGUCCGGAUUUAUUGGGUUUAAAGGGUGCGUAGGCGGCCUUAUAAGUCAGUGCUGAAAUAUCCCGGCUUAACCGGGAGGGUGGCAUUGAUACUGUAGGGCUUGAGUAAAGUUGAGGUUGGCGGAAUUGACGGUGUAGCGGUGAAAUGCUUAGAUAUCGUCAAGAACACCGAUAGUGAAGACAGCUAACUAAGCUUUAACUGACGCUAAGGCACGAAAGUGUGGGGAUCAAACAGG
rnacentral:rRNA from 1 species